rnacentral:rRNA from 1 species
UACGGAGGGUGCAAGCGUUAUCCGGAUUUACUGGGUUAAAGGGUGCGUAGGUGGGUCUGUAAGUCAGUGGUGAAAUCUCCGAGCUUAACUCGGAAACUGCCAUUGAUACUAUAGAUCUUGAAUUAUCUGGAGGUAAGCGGAAUAUGUCAUGUAGCGGUGAAAUGCUUAGAUAUGACAUAGAACACCAAUUGCGAAGGCAGCUUACUACGGAUCGAUUGACACUGAGGCACGAAAGCGUGGGGAUCAAACAGG